rnacentral:rRNA from 1 species
GGCGAACGCUGGCGGCGUGCUUAACGCAUGCAAGUCGAACGGAAAGGCCCUGCGUUUGUGGGGUGCUCGAUUGGCGAACGGGUGAGUAACACGUGAGUAACCUGCCCUUGACUUUGGGAUAACUUCAGGAAACUGGGGCUAAUACCGGAUAGGAGCUCCUGCUGCGUGGUGGUGGUUGGAAAGUUUCGGCGGUUGGGGAUGGACUCGCGGCUUAUCAGCUUGUUGGUGGGGUAGUGGCUGACCAAGGCUUUGACGGGUAGCCGGCCUGAGAGGGUGACCGGCGACCUUGGGACUGAGAUACGGCCCAGACUCCUACGGGAGGCAGCAGUGGGGAAUAUUGCACAAUGGGCGGAAGCCUGAUGCAGCAACGCUGCGUGCGGGAUGACGGGCUUCGGGUUGUAAACCGCUGUCGACUGUGACGAAGCGUGAGUGACGGUAAUGGGUCAAGAAGCACCGGCUAACUACGUG